AGACUUCCUGGUCACGGUAAUGUCUCUUCCAACGUGGAGCCAGGACGCUCCGCCUUUGGGGAACGCUGGUGCAGGGCUUGGGACUCAGGGCAGUGCGGUCGAGCCCCUACCCACUCCGGAGAACCCCCGGCCCCGCCAGCGCGGCCGGGCUGCUGGCUCCCCUGGCGUCCGGUCGAGGCGCACACCCGCCUCGGUCCGACUGUGACCCCGGUGAGCUUCGGACCAUUCUGCCCCGCGACCUCAGCCUGAGAAGACCCGGGGCCCUGCCAGCUCCCGGGACUAUAACUUCAGUUGAGUCGCUACUUCCGCGGAUCCUGAGCUGGGGGAAAGUCGAGGGGUCCGGAAGGCUCAGGAGGGAUCGUGGACUUCAGGGUUCCCAGGCUGCUGGCGUGGAGCACCAACACCUUACAUGGAGGGGUUUCUGCUGCCAGAGCAGGCAAGGCCCUCCCCUCCCUAGUUUCUCACUGACCCCUUCUGGGUGUCCUCACGCAACUACACCAGCCACUGGUCUCCGCACUUUCCAGAGGGCCUGUGGGCAACUACGAAGCCGAACACUGCCAACCCAUCCACCCAGCAUCCCUGCAGCAUGCACAGAAAGGUUCACCCAGCAUGGUGUGCAAUAGGAAACUAAGCUCCUAUCUCAGCCUAUUUCUGGAUUGAUGCACGCUGUGCAAAAUGCCGUGGCAGCAGGAAGAGGGCUGCACAUAAGCAAGGGGUUCUGGAAAUUAAGACGUCUAGAGGAGAAAGCGUGAGACAUCCCGUGAUGGCAAUGCCACCGCCACCCCCUUGCCUAACCAAACCGUCCUCUGCUCCGGGCAAGUGGCCAUCUGGGAGCAUUAGCCAGGGAGGCACUCAUUGUGUCUUGCCAUCACGUCCACAGAGGGGGCCCCACACCUUGUCAUACUCAUUUGACAAACUCUCCAGAACUGCUGGUGCCAGCCCCCACAGGUCACCUUACAGGGCAACUCCAGACUCCACAAUGUGAGUCUAAUAUGUGUUCCAAGAAUCAAACAGGAUGAGCACCAAGACAUAAAGCUUAGAAAUAGCAAGACUGCUUUUCAGAUGCACAUGCACGCUUGUUUUCCAAAGGAAUUAGAUUUAUUCUGCAUGAAAACGGAAAGUGUUCACUCCCCAAGCUGAGAGCUGAGGAGGUGGCACUGUGCUGAGUCCAGCCAGGGCUUGGGUCCUGCCCCAGUCUGACAGGCCUGCUGAGCCUGGGAGGGGCCCAAGAGAAAGCCCCUGCAAAGCCCCGAAACCUACAUGCUAGGUAGCCUGUGCUGGAGUCACUCAAAGGGGCCUGUGGCUGUCAGUCAUCCUUGCUUCCCCUUGGCGGCGGUGAGUUCUCCCUUUCCGAUGAUGAUGAUGACGAUGAAGUAUCUGCUGGCAAGCCCCUUGUAUCUAUCCGGCAGAACACGCAUUGGGUGAACAUUUCAGAAGAGGUGUCACUCUUGAAGAUGGAGAAAGGCCUGUCACAUCUUUCGCACUGACAUGGGAUAUUUUAAAAGAGCAGAAAGGAGGUGCUGGUCAGAGGUGAUCCAGGCAUGCCAUUAGAAUUCUCCCAGCUACCUUGAGCUGGGGCAAGGCAAGGGUUCCCCUCUCUGGAAUCUCUUUUUGGUUUGUUUGUUUGUUUUUGUUUUUGUUUUUGAGACAGAGUCUCACUUUGUUGCCCAGGCUGGAGUGCAGUGGCACCAUCUAGGCUUACUGCAACCUCCGCCUCCCAGGUUCAAGCAAUUCUCCUGCCUCAGCCACCCGAGUAGCUGGGAUUACAGGCGUGCACCACCACAUCCUGCUAAUUUUUGUAUUUUUAGUAGAGAUGGGGUUUCUCCAUGUUGGCCAGGCUGGUCUUGAACUCCUGGCCUCAAGUGAUCCACCCACCUUGGCAGCCCAGAGUGCUGGGAUUACAGGCGUGAGCCACUGGGCGCAGCCCCUCUCUGGAAUCUCUAACCCCACAAAGGCGGAAAUUGCAGAGAGAAUGAGCACAGGCUGCUUCCCCACCAAUGGCUAAGCAGGUCCUGCCAGCUCAUGUCUCCUGCCAGCUCAUGUCUCCUGCCAGCUCAUGUCUCCUGCCAUGGGGGUCCUGAGGACAUGCGUGGCAAGCCCCUUGACAGUUGGGAGGAUGGGGGUGAGUGUCCCGCCCCAUCCAUUGUUCUGUGCCGAGUAAAAUUGUGGGACUAAGAGGAUGACUCCCUGACAUCCUGAGAACACCCAACUUUUACAGAACCAUGAGACGCAAGUAGGCAAGAUUUCUGAACAAAGCAGGGGUGUGAAGCAGAUUGAUGCAGGUGCUAGGUGCCCUCCUGCGUCCCUGAGCCUGUUUCUGGCCAAAGCUCACAGAGUACACUGAAAACAAAUGGCACAGCUCACCCAUCACGUCUGCUUCCCACUAACAAGCAAGAGUGCCAUGGGAUGAGGUCUCCUAGGCCAUGGGCAGAGGCCCCUCAGGGGUUCCCACCAUGCAUGGUCCCCUGGAGAAGAGCCUGCAAGGUGGCCGCGCCCCUGCCCUGGCUCUCCCAGCCCCUGGGCUUUGCUGUUCUGCCCACUCCAGGACACUGAGGCCUGCUGGAGAGGGGGGUAAACCCUACCUGGGGCAGGCCUCGGGGAAGCCUGGCCUCAGGCUUCUCAUGUUGAUUGAUUCAGAGCAAGUCAAAUGCAGCAGGCUCAUCCUUGCUUCAGCUUCAGGUAGGCCUCUUUCUUUUCCUUUUUUGCAAGAAAUAGAUUAGAUCCCAGUUUGGGUGCGGAUAGCUUGCGCCUGUAGUCCCAGCACUUUGGGAGGCUGAGGCGGGCGGAUCACUUGAGCUCAGGAGUUCGAGACCAACCUGGCCAACAUGGUGAAACCCCGUCUCUAAUAAAAACACAAAACAAUUAGCCAGCGUAGUGGUGGGCGCCUGUAGUCCCAGCUACUCGGGAGGCUGAGGCAGGAGAAUCGCUUGAACCCGGGAGGCGGAGGUUGCAGUGAGACGAGAUCGCGCCACUGCACUCCAGCCUGGGCGACAGAGCGAGACUCCAUCUCAAAAAAGAAAUAAAAAGAAAAAAGGAAAUUUGAUCCUUUACCUACCUUAUCCUACAUUCCUACAUCCCACGGUCCAACCCCAGAACAACAGGGCUCACAGAGGAGGAGGCUCCCAGGCCUUGCCCUAGGUGGCCAGUGAAAAACAAGGGCCAUCACUGCUCUGUAGCAAGUCAGCUUUCACAGUUUAAGGGCCAAACAGGGACAAGGUCCAUGUGAGUCCCACCCCUCACACAACUGCCUUGCAGUGCGGCUCCCAAAUUAGCCAUUCCCAGAAGCAGUGGCUCCCAGCCGAACCUUCUGAGAGGAGGCCAAGUCUAGGCAGCUCCAGGAUUCCCAGGGAAGGACUUAAAGGGGCCCAGCCUGCACUCCAAGGCAGCAGCCAGGUGUGUGCACAGAGAGGCUCCAGCGGAGAGUUGCCUCCACUGCCCAGGGACAGCCUCUGUGGCCAGCCCCAGCUGUGCCUGGUGAAGCAGAAAAUAUGCUGGCCUGACCACCAAGCUCUUGCACUAGAGAAGCGCAGGCACCUAAGCCUUUUGCAUGGGAAGUGGGGCACUGGGGACCUGCCCAGGGUAGGAGGCUGACGCAGUGCCCAGCUGUGUACCCGGCCAUUCCUCCACUGACCAGUGCUCCUGCAGGUCUCAUCCCCUCCAAGCCCCCUCACUCCACCCCUCCGAUGCACCAGGCUGGCUCCUGCCUCUCAGGCUCUCUCUGCAUUGGCUGUUCUCUAUGCUGGGAAGUUCUUUCUUCUCUUUUUUUUUUUUUUUUUUUUUUUUUUUUGAGACAGAGUCUCGCUCUGUCACCCAGGCUAGAGUGCAGUGGCGCAAUCUCAACUCACUGCAACUUCCAUCUCCCAGGUUCAAGGGAUUCUCCUGCCUUAGCCUCUCGAGUAGCUGGUAGUACAGGUGUGCACCACCAAGCCUGGCUAAUUUUUUUGUAUUUGUAGUAGAGACAGGACUUAACCAUGUUGGCCAGGCUGGUCUCGAACUCCUGACCUCAGGUGAUCCGCCUGCUUCAGCCUCCCAAAAUGUUGGGAUUACAGGCGUGAAACACCGCAUCCAGCUGGAAGUUCUUUCCUCUAAAUAUCUGCAUGGCUCACCCCCUCACCACCUUCAAGUCGACACAGCUGUCAGUCCUCAAUGAGACCUAUCCUGACCACCCUUUAAAAUCUUGCAACCUCCAGCACUCCUACUCCUGUUUGCUAUGUAUUUUUCUGUCAAUUACUUAUCACCAUGAGACUUACUACACAUUUUUCUUGUGUCUUUCCUCUUUGUUUCCUCUCUUAGAAUUUAAGCUCCCCUGGGGCAAAAAUGUCAGUCUGUUUGUUCACGAUUGCAUCUCCAGGUGCCCAAAGUUCAUUCAAAUGAUAAAUUAAUUUAUAGAGGGAACUAACGAAAGCCUUCACUGGGCUUAAUUUUACCCAAUACCAACCUGUUUCAACUUUAAGCCCACGGCCUUUUUGUACUUGAUUACCAAAGGAAUUUCAUCAAUUUCUUCAAUAUUCCACAGUCUCAUGGUCCUAUCCUAAAACAAAUAGCAAACCAGCGGUCACAAAACAGGCUGUGGUACAUCCAUACAAAGGAAUGUCAUUCAACAAUCAAAAGACAUGGGCUGUCAAGGCACAAAAAGACAGAGGAACCUUCAAUGCACAUUGUUAUGCCAUAGAAGCCAACCUGAAGAGGCUACAGAGUAUAAUUCCAACCAUAUGACAUUCUGGAAAAGGCAAAACUGAAGAAUAUAAAUAGAUGAGUCAUUGCCCAGGAUUAUAGGGAAGAGGAGGAGGGAUGAAUAGUAAAACUAUUCUGUAUGGCCAGGCGCGGUGGCUCAUGCCUGUAAUCCGACCACUUUGAGAGGCCAAGGUGGGUGAGGUCAGGAGUUCAAGACCAGCCUGACCAAUAUGGUGAAACCCCGUCUCUACUAAAAAUACAAAAAUAGCUGGGCACAGUGGCGUGCACCUGUAGUCCCAGCUACUUGGGAGGCUGAGGCAGGAGAAUCACUUGAACCCAGGAGGCGGAGGUUGCAGUGAGCCAAGAUCGCACCACUGCACUCAAGCCUGUGCGACAGAGUGAGACUCUGUCUCAAAACAAACAAACAAACAAAACUAUAUGACACUGUAUUGGUGGAUAUAUGAUAUGCAUUUGGCAAAAAUAUACAGUAACACAAAGCAUGAAACUAUAAAACCAUGGACCUUAGUUAAUAAUAGUUCCUGAAAGGAAUGCAGUCCUGUUGAUACCUAGAUUUUAGCCCAGUGAGAGCUUAUCAGACUUCUAUCUUACAGUACUGUAAGAUAUUAAAUUUAUGUUGUUUAAUGUUUAAACAGUACAGUCUGGUAACUUAUUAUAGCAGCAAUAAAAAAAUGGAUACAUUGAGUAUGUUACAUUUCUUGAUUCAGCAGUUGCAACUAAAUAUCCUGUGGGAGAACAAAGGGGUCAUUUUUGUAACAGAUGUGUUGACUUCAUGCUGCCUAAAGCUGUCAGAUCUUACCAAUAAGCAUACUUCCUACAGUAUAGCAAGUGGUUUGUCAAAUCAUGACAACAAAAAACAUCCUCCCAGCUCUUAGAUACUUUAAUUCAAAAGUUAGUUUCAAGCUGGGCAUGGUGGCUCACACCAGUAAUCCCAGCACUUUGAGAGGCCAAGGCAGGCGGAUCACCUGAGGUCAGGAGUUUGAGACCAGCCUGGCCAACAUGGCGAAACUCUGUCUCUACUAAAAAUACAAAAAUUAGCCAGGCCUGGUGCUGCAUGCCUGUAAUCCCAGCUACUCAGGAGGCUGAGGCAGGAGAAUCACUUAAACUUGGGAGGCAGAGUUUGCAAUAAGCCGAGAUCGCACCAUUGCACUCCAGCCUGGGUGACAGAGCGAGACUCUGUCUCAAAAAAAUAAUAAUAAUAAUAUUUUUUAUUUAGCUGGGUGUGGUGAUACACACCUAUAGUGUGUUUGGGGCCACUUUUCACCUUCCUCGAAAUGUACAGAAGCACUUAAUGAGAUUUUUUCUUUCUUUUUUUCUCUUUUUUUAAGACAGGGUCUUACUCUGUCACCCAGGCCCGAGUGCAGUGGCAUGCCCUCAGCUCACUACAACCUCCGCUUCGCAGGCUCCAGUGAUUCUCCUGCCUUGGCCCCCCGAAUAGCUGGGACUACAGGCAUGCGCCACCAUACCCCACUAAUAUUUUGUAUUUUUAGUAGAGAUGGGGUUUGGGCACGUUGCCCAGGCUGGUCUCAAACUCCUGAGCUCAG
rnacentral:lncRNA from 1 species